AUCAAAACCAAACACAACCUAAAGCAUAACCACAUAAUAAUAAUUCUUACUAUUAUUAGUCACACUUCUGCUCACUUAUCUUCUUGAACCCCAAUCAUGGACAAGCGAACCACCACCACCAUCACUCACACUCCAUCACCGUCGCUGUCGCCACCACCACCAUCAUCGCAGCUUGUUUUCUAUGCUCCUCCGCUCUCCCCCGCUCAAAUUGCGAUCCUUAAUACCCCGCCGCCGCCUUUUCCGGGCGGUUCGAGCUCCUUCGACCUCUCUCCCCUCGAAUUCCUCCUCGCCAUCGUUGCCAUGGUCACACUGCCCGCCGUAAUCUACACCUUUAUCUUCGCCUACGGCUGCCCGUCUUGCCGCCGGCAACCGGAGCGAAAUUCCGGCGAGCAUUCCAGUGAGUCCCGCGACGGGGACAGCGUCAUCGCCACCGCUGUUGCUGAAUUUCGGUACCAGAAGGACUCUCACGUGAAGGAGAUCGGCGGCGAGUGUCCGGUAUGCUUGUCGGCUUUCGCCGACGGCGAGAAACUCCGGCAACUUAGCGAUUGUAAGCAUUCGUUUCACGCUGAUUGCAUCAACUUGUGGCUCAGCAACCACACGAAUUGCCCAAUUUGCCGCUCCAUCGUCGCCGGCGCUGGCAGAAAGCGCCCCAGUUCAUCUGCUCCGGCAAGAGAUCAUCAUGAUUUUCAUCAAGGUCUUCCUGAUGCAUCCGGUUUGAGAAAGCAGCAUCAACGUUAACUUUCAACCACUCUUUUGGGGGCGCUCUCCACACUACUGGUGAAAACAACAGUGGGAAUCAACCAAAGUCAGUUGAAAUCAAGCAGGUUCAUUUGUAGGCAUCUCAUGGGCUUAUUAAGAUUGGAUUUCAUGGGUUUGAUGAUUUGUGAUGCUUGGUGAUCGUGUUUCAAUUCAUUCUAGAGAUAAAGUAAUUGAAUUCAUGUUUGGAACGUUGACUUUGUAGUAGUAGCACUGUAGAACCAAAAUUUUGGCCAUUGCCUUUUUGACCAAGUUUGAAAAAGAUGAAAGAAUUCUCUACGCAUUUAGUACUUGAUUAACGGGCCAUAUAAUUGAUUAUCACUACCUAAAAUUGCAA